rnacentral:tRNA from 1 species
GGGUGGGUGGCUCAGUGGUUAGAGCCUAGGGCUCGUAACCAAGAGGUUCCGUGUUCGAACCUCUCGAGAGGCA